GGNNUUCGAUUAAGCCAUGCGAGUCGCGAGAAUUAGAUUCUCGGCGUACCGCUCAGUAACACGUGGGUAACCUGCCCUAUGCUGGAUAAUAACCUCGGGAAACUGAGAAUAAUGAUCCAUAGUUCACUACGCCUGGAACGGUGAGUGGAUGAAAGCUCCGGCGGCAUAGGAUGGGCCUGCGGCGUAUCAGGUUGUAGGGGGUGUAACGUACCCUCUAGCCCUCUACGCGUACGGGUGUUGGGAGACAUAGCCCGGAGAUGGAUUCUGAGACACGAAUCCAGGACCUACGGGGUGCAGCAGGCGCGAAAACUUGGCAAUGCGAGAAAUCGUGACCAGGGAACUCCAAGUGCAUCGGGUAAGACCGGUGCUUUUCUUGACUCUAAAUAGGUCUUGGAAUAAGGGGUGGGUAAGGACGGUGCCAGCCGCCGCGGUAAUACCGGCGCCUCAAGUGGUAGUCGCUUUUAUUGGGCCUAAAACGUCCGUAGCCGGUCUGAUACAUUCGUGGGUAAAUCAACCAGCUCAACUGGUUGAAUUCUGCGAGGACGGUCAGACUUGGGACCGGGAGAGGUGUGGGGUACGCUCAGGGUAGGGGUAAAAUCCUGUCAUCCUGAGCGGACCACCUGUUGCGAAGGCGCCACACUAGAACGGAUCCGACGGUCAGGGACGAAGCCUAGGGGCACGAACCGGAUUAGAUACCCGGGUAGUCCUAGGUGUAAACGCUGUGGACUUGAUGUUGGGGGUGCUCCGAGCACUCUCAGUGUCGAAGCGAAGGUGAUAAGUCCACUGCCUGGGAAGUACGGUCGCAAGGCUGAAACUUAAAGGAAUUGGCGGGGGAGCACCGCAAC
rnacentral:rRNA from 1 species